rnacentral:rRNA from 1 species
GCCAACCCGCGAGGGGGAGCCAAUCCCAUAAAACCAGUCGUAGUCCGGAUCGCAGUCUGCAACUCGACUGCGUGAAGUCGGAAUCGCUAGUAAUCGCGGAUCAGAAUGUCGCGGUGAAUACGUUCCCGGGUCUUGUACACACCGCCCGUCACACCAUGGGAGCGGGUUCUGCCAGAAGUAGUUAGCCUAACCGCAAGGAGGGCGAUUACCACGGCAGGGUUCGUGACUGGGGUGAAGUCGUAACAAGGUAACC